UACGAAGGGUGCAAACGUUGCUCGGAAUUAUUGGGCGUAAAGCGCACGUAGGCGGCUUAGCAAGUCGGAAGUGAAAUCCCACGGCUCAACCAUGGAAGUGCUUUCGAAACUGCUGAGCUUGAGUACUUAAGGGGAUCGCGGAAUUCCCGGUGUAGAGGUGAAAUUCGUAGAUAUCGGGAGGAACACCAGUGGCGAAGGCGGCGAUCUGGGAAGAUACUGACGCUGAGGUGCGAAAGCGUGGGGAGCAAACAGG
rnacentral:rRNA from 1 species